GAUGAACGCUAGCGGCAGGCUUAAUACAUGCAAGUCGAGGGGCAGCAUGGUGUAGCAAUACACUGAUGGCGACCGGCAAACGGGUGCGGAACACGUACGGCAACCUUCCUUCAAGUGAGGAAUAGCCCAGGGAAACUUGGAUUAAUACCUCGUAACAUUGUGAAGUGGCAAUCUACUUUAUAAUUAUAGCUCAGGCGCUUGAAGUAUGGGCGUGCGACUGAUUAGGUAGUUGGCGGAGUAACAGCCACCAAGCCUGCGAUCAGUAACUGGUGUGAGAGCACGACCAGUCACACGGGCACUGAGACA
rnacentral:rRNA from 1 species